rnacentral:rRNA from 1 species
UGCGUAGGCGGCCCGGCAAGUUGGGUGUGAAAUCCCUCGGCUCAACCGAGGAAUUGCGCCCAAAACUGCCGGACUCGAGGGAGACAGAGGUGAGCGGAACUUGCGGUGGAGCGGUGAAAUGCGUUGAUAUCGCAAGGAACACCAGUGGCGAAAGCGGCUCACUGGGUCUCUUCUGACGCUGAGGCACGAAAGCUAGGGGAGCGAACAGGAUUAGAUACCCUGGUAGUCC